rnacentral:rRNA from 1 species
UGGUGGCGAGUGGCGGACGGGUGAGUAAUGCAUCGGAACGUGUCCUUAAGUGGGGGAUAACGCAUCGAAAGAUGUGCUAAUACCGCAUAAUCUCUGAGGAGAAAAGCAGGGGAUCUUAGGACCUUGUGCUUUUGGAGCGGCCGAUGCCUGAUUAGCUAGUUGGUGGGGUAAAGGCCUACCAAGGCUUCGAUCAGUAGUUGGUCUGAGAGGACGACCAGCCACACUGGGACUGAGACACGGCCCAGACUCC